CAGCAGCCACGGGAAUACGAGGGGGGCAAGCGUUGUUCGGAAUUAUUGGGCGUAAAGGGCGCGUAGGCGGUUUGACAAGUCUGAUGUGAAAUCUAUGGGCUCAACCCAUAGCCUGCAUUAGAAACUGUCGGGCUUGAGUAUGGGAGAGGUGAGUGGAAUUUCCGGUGUAGCGGUGAAAUGCGUAGAUAUCGGAAGGAACACCUGUGGCGAAAGCGGCUCACUGGACCAUAACUGACGCUGAGGCGCGAAAGCUAGGGGAGCAAACAGGAUUAGAUACCCCGGUAGUCUCUGUCUCUUAUAC
rnacentral:rRNA from 1 species